rnacentral:rRNA from 1 species
AUGAACGCUGGCGGCGUGCCUAAUACAUGCAAGUCGAGCGAACAGAUGAGGAGCUUGCUCCUCUGACGUUAGCGGCGGACGGGUGAGUAACACGUGGAUAACCUACCUAUAAGACUGGGAUAACUUCGGGAAACCGGAGCUAAUACCGGAUAAUAUAUUGAACCGCAUGGUUCAAUAGUGAAAGACGGUUUUGCUGUCACUUAUAGAUGGAUCCGCGCCGCAUUAGCUAGUUGGUAAGGUAACGGCUUACCAAGGCAACGAUGCGUAGCCGACCUGAGAGGGGGAUCGGCCAACCUGGAACUGAAACACGGGCCAGACUCCUACGGGAGGCAGCAGGUGGGAAUCUUCCGCAAAGGGGGAAAGCCUGAAGGAGCAACGCCGGGGGGAUGAUGAAGGGCUUCGGAUCGGAAAACCUUUUUAUUAGGGAAAAAAAAAUUUGUAAGUAACUAAGCACGUCUUGACGGUACCUAAACAGAAAGCCACGGCUAACUACGG